UACAGAGGUCUCAAGCGUUGUUCGGAUUCAUUGGGCGUAAAGGGUGCGUAGGCGGCGUGGUAAGUCGGAUGUGAAAUCUCGGAGCUUAACUCCGAAACUGCAUUCGAUACUGCCGUGCUUGAGGACUGGAGAGGAGACUGGAAUUCAUGGUGUAGCAGUGAAAUGCGUAGAGAUCAUGAGGAAGACCAGUGGCGAAGGCGGCUCGCUGGGACGGUACUGACGCUGAGACGCGAAAGCGUGGAGAGCGAACAGG
rnacentral:rRNA from 1 species